GUCCAUAAUGACUCUCGGCAACGGAUAUCUCGGCUCUUGCAUCGAUGAAGAACGUAGCGAAAUGCGAUACUUGGUGUGAAUUGCAGAAUCCCGUGAACCAUCGAGUCUUUGAACGCAAGUUGCGCCCGAAGCCAUUAGGCUAAGGGCACGCCUGCCUGGGUGUCACCGA
rnacentral:rRNA from 1 species